UGGCGGGUAGUGGCUAGGAACCUCGUCUCCAAAUGGUGGGCACCCGAAGGGGCGAGGGGAGCCAGUGGUGCGACCGCCCACCGCGUGG
rnacentral:ncRNA from 1 species